UACGUAGGGGGCAAGCGUUGUCCGGAUUUAUUGGGCGUAAAGCGCGCGCAGGUGGUGGAUUAAGUUGUGGGUAAAAGGCAUUGGCUCAACCAAUGUAAGCCUGCAAAACUGGUUCACUUGAGUGCAGGAGAGGGGAGUGGAAUUCCCGGUGUAGCGGUGGAAUGCGUAGAUAUCGGGAGGAACACCAGUGGCGAAGGCGACUCUCUGGCCUGUAACUGACACUGAGGCGCGAAAGCGUGGGUAGCGAACAGGAUUAGAUACCCUGGUAGUCCACGCCGUAAACGAUGAGUGCUAGGUGUUGGGGGCAUCACGUCCUCAGUGCCGAAGGAAACCCAUUAAGCACUCCGCCUGGGGAGUACGGCCGCAAGGCUGAA
rnacentral:rRNA from 1 species